GGGCCUGGUGGGAUGUGGUUGAAUCAUGGGGUGGACUUCCCUGUUGCUGUUGUCAUGACAGCGAGUGGGUUUUCACCACUUCUGGUUGUUGGAAAGUGUAUGACACUUCCUCCUUUGCUCUCUCUCUCCUCCAUCACUGUGAAGAUGUGCGGGCUUGCCCUUCAUCUUCUGCCUUGAUUUUCAGUUUCCUGAGGCCUCCCAGUCAUGCUUCGUGUUAAGUCUGGGGAAGUGUUUUGAUGACAAGCUUAAAAAAUUUUUUGCUGAGUGGCUGGCAAGAUGGCCAAAUAGGAACAGCUCCAGCCUGCAGCUCCCAGUGAGAUCAACGCAGAAGUGGUGCCUGGAAUGCCAGAGAGACAGAACCAUUCACUCCCUGGAAAGGGGGCUGAAACCAGGGAGCCAAGUGGUCUAGCUCAGUGGAUCCCACCCCCAUGGAGCCCAGCAAGAAUUCUUCCAACUUUUAAAUGGAACACAAGUGUCCUUUUAAGUUUACCCAAAGGUGUCAGCAUUACUGAAGUCACAAAGACCUUGGCCAGUGUAUGUAAAUUGAACUUUGAAAAAAAAUUAGCAUUAUAAUAUGCUACAGAUGGUAUAUCAAACUCAAAUAAACUAAUAAUAUUGAAUUAGCAAGCUUUCUUACUGGAAAAAUACCUCUUGAACAUUGGUAGAGCAUAAAGACUAACUUGAAAUUAAAGGGCAAAAACCAACACAAGC